CCGCAUACUUACAAUGACACUUGCUGCAAAAGUUCAUUCAGUUAUUACACAUCAAUGAAACGAUAAGCAAUUAUUUUAGGCUCUUCAUCUUUGGAACUGCUACUGGUAGCAUCAAAGCUACAAGACUGACCUAUUUUUCUUGCUGAAGCAGAGAGAUUAGCAACCGACUCACUGGAAACUCACUGGUUGCUCAAUACUGUCAACACAAAUUUUCUCUGCAUCAUUUACGUGCCGAUUCCCAUGGAAUUUUCUCUUUCCCCUUUACGAUCUUUCCCUUAAUACCACUGUCAAAAGACGAUUAGUCCACAAAGAGAAGUAUAUUCGGCGAAAAAUCACAAAUACAGCGACCAGAAG